GCUCCCAUGGCGAAGUGGUCACUGCGCUCGCCUUGCACGCGGGAGACUGGGUUCGAUUCCCGGCGGGGUCA
rnacentral:tRNA from 1 species